GAGUGGAAAUGAUAUGACUGAACAUUCAUUGCUUUUACUUUCCAGGGCAGUAACAGAAAAUUAUGGGGAGAAAUGACAUCUUUGGAAAGCUUUACACUACAACAGAUACUUCAGAUAUUAAUUUGUUCCCUUGCAACAGCCACUUAAAUAUGAGGUCCUGAACCUCUAACCCCAGUGAAUGUGAAGGGCUGACAGUUCAACAUAUUGGAUUACAACUCCUGCUAUUCCACAUCAAUUGCUAGACUAAGCUUGAUGGGAUUUGCUAUCCAACAUCUGGAAGAGGGGGAGCUGUCCACUCCUACUGUGUUCAAUGAUCUUGUGGUCCUCCAGAUUUUUUGGACUUCCAUGUCUAUCAGCCCCAGUCAACAAGGCCAAUAGUAAGUAAUCAUGAGUGAGCAAACUCUUCAGCCAGCACAGAACAUUUUAUCUUCCAUCCUCGAAGCCAAGAAAGAACAGUGGAUAAAGCUGAUAACAGAAGUAGAUAUGGGCAGGAGUAGUCUGAGGCAUGGAAGCUGCUAAGACAGCUGAGCAGUGAUCCCUCACAAUCUAAUAACCAUGCCAACAUAAGCAUACUUAUGAAGAAUGGGAAACCCAACCUUGCCACCAAACUAGGAAGGAAACCAAUAGCCAAACAACCAGAUAGUGAAAGCAACAACUUUCAUGAAUCUUUUACAUCUGCUGAAUUGGAAAUAGCUCUCAAUAAAUGUAAAAAUGACAAAGCAGCUGGCCUGGGUGAUCUACGGAUGAAACAAAUUAAGAACUUUGGGCCAAAAGCAAGGUGCAGUCUGCUGAAGCUGAUGAACACCACUGGAGAAAUUAUAGUGUUUAGCCAGUAUUGCACCAUCUGACAUUUGCUGAGAAGUACCAGCCAACAACGAAAGGACCAACGCAGUGACAUCUCCAGCCCAUCCACUGUCCAGAUAUUAGCCAGCACACCACUACCUUAAAUCAAGAAAUUUCUUUCUAAGGUCUACAGAGAUACUUGUAGGAACACCUCAGCAAGCGAGUCCAAAAGUGGCAGGCUAAGGCCCAGAACCUCAAUCUAUGGCUGAUACCAAAUGAGAGACUCCCUCCUGGGCACACAGAAGACUAGGUGACUUGGAAGGCACUGAACAGACUGGGCUCUGGCACCAACCUUAAGAAAUGGGGCUACAAAGUGGAGUCCACAACAUGCAAGUGUGGAGGAGAGCAAACCACAGGCCACCUACUACAAUGCAUCCGAACCCUGCCACAUGCACAAUGGAGGACCUUCUCACAGUGACACCAGAGGCACUCUAAGUGGCCAGCUACUGGUUAAAGGACAUUUAGUAUAAUGCUCAGUUUUUAACUUUGUUUGUGUUUUAAAUACAUUUUAACUGUACCCUCAAUUUGCUUCUGAUACAAUAAAUAAAAAUAAAUGGCAA